rnacentral:rRNA from 1 species
GACGGAGGAUGCAAGUGUUAUCCGGAAUCACUGGGCGUAAAGCGUCUGUAGGUGGUCAAAUAAGUCAACUGUUAAAUCUUGAGGCUCAACCUCAAAAUCGCAGUCGAAACUAUUAGACUAGAGUAUAGUAGGGGUAAAGGGAAUUUCAGUGGAGCGGUGAAAUGCGUAGAGAUUGGAAAGAACACCGAUGGCGAAGGCACUUUACUGGGCUAUUACUAACACUCAGAGACGAAAGCUAGGGUAGCAAAUGGG